rnacentral:rRNA from 1 species
CCUACGGGUGGCUGCAGUGGGGAAUAUUGCACAAUGGGGGAAACCCUGAUGCAGCGACGCCGCGUGAGUGAAGAAGUAUUUCGGUACGUAAAGCUCUAUCAGCAGGGAAGAAAAUAAGUACUUUGGACUUUGGACGGUACCUGACUAAGAAGCCCCGGCUAACUACGUGCCUACAGCCGCGGUCAUACGUAGGGGGCAAGCGUUAUCCGGAUUUACUGGGUGUAAAGGGAGCGUAGACGGCAGCGCAAGUCUGGAGUGAAAGGCGGGGGCCCAACCCCGGAACUGCUUUGGAAACUGGGCAGCUGGAGUGCAGGAGAGGGAAGCGGAAUUCCUGGUGUAGCGGUGAAAUGCGUAGAUAUUGGGAGGAACACCAGUGGCGAAGGCGGCUUACUGGACUGUAACUGACGUUGAGGCUCGAAAGCGUGGGGAGCAAACAGGAUUAGAUACCCCAGUAGUC